UAUAUAGUGCUCCAAAGUGCUCAGCUGACACCAGCCGUUACUGUUACUGCUUUGGUGUUACUCUGAGGCCCCAGGAUCCUACCCCGACAACAAACCAAGCUGUCCGUCCUCUCUGGAAAAGUCCAUGCUUCAUGUCAGAUUCCCCCCUGCAGCCCCAAACAAAGCACCUGCCCUGUAGUACAGCCUCACCUUCUUCAAGUCCCAACCCUGUUAAGGCCUUUCCUUGCUUGCUUCUCCCUGGAGGCACCACCCCCAGGUCCUGUCUGGUGGACCCUACCUUCUGGAAGCUCCCUAAGGAGCAGGAUCACCUCUGAGGAAGCACCCCCAUCAUGCCCACCCCCCACCCCGAGGAGGCUGUCGGCGGCCAAUUUUGCCACCGGUGGGCCCUUUGCUUGUCAACGCUACCUGGGAAGCUCCUGCCCGACCCUGCAAGCCUGCCCCAAACUGUUCCUUAUUGUCUUUUUCUUCCUCUGGCUGCCCUCUGAGGCCCCGCUCCCGUGGGACCGGUAUCUGCUAAUUGACUCAGGGCCCCCCGGCCAGGCCCCACACCUUGCAGGUGACUCCUCACCUACCAGGUGAACCCACGGGGCUUCCGACUGGCUCUUGCGGAACAACCCUGGCCCAGACCCUGGGGCUAGCCCCAGAGGUGGCUCCUGACCCUUUAGGACCCUCCCAAAGCCCUGCCCCUCCAGUGACCCCCACCCUCAGGCCAGGUAUCCCUACAGGCUCCGCCCCCAAGAAAGCUCCUUAAUUGCCUCCUCAGCAACGUCACCGUAACAUACAGGCCCGUCUCCAGAGGUGCCACUCACACUCAGGCCCCGCCCUCAGAGGCAGUCCCCCUGCUCAGGCCCUGCCCUCCGCAGGCGUCCUCCUGCCGGUCCUCCCCGCUGCCCUCACCUGCAGGCCCAGCUCCAGCGCGAUGCCCAACAGCGUGGUGUCUGGUGGAGCGCUGGCCGGAGUGGCCGUUUUGCAGGCAUCCUGUGCCAGCUUGAAAAGCAGGGCAGAAAGCCACCUGAGGAUCCCUAAUCAUCAAGGGCAUCAAUUCUGGACGCAGAAUACCAGGAUUUGUUCAAGUCCCCGCCCUGCCACUAGCCAGCUGUGCAACCCUCAUCAAGUUACUCCACCUCCCUCUCUGUGGCUGCCCCAUCUGUACAAUGGGUACUAACGCAAAGGUACCCACCUCACAGGGCCAUGGUGAGCCCGUAUUUGUAAAGGCUUUAACAAGGCCAGAGCUAUACACACGUGUGGGCUUUUAUUACUAUUAUCAUCAUUUGCCCAGAUUCCAUAAUCUGUCCCUCAACUCCAGCCACAUGGGCCUGCUGUGGUCCUCAAACACACUAGGCACAGUCCAGCCUCAGAGCCUUUGCACUGGCUGUUCCCUCUGCCUGGAAUGUCUUCCCAGAUGCUCUGGAAUCAACUGUGCCCUCCCAAAAUUGGUAUGUUGAAGCCCUGACCCACAGUGUGAUGGUAUUUGGAGGUGAGCCUUUGGGAGGCAAUCAGGUUCAGGUGAGGUCAUGAGGGUGGGGUCCCCAUGAUGGGAUUAGUGUCCUUCUAAGAGAGACCAGCCUCCCUCCAUGUGAGGACACAGCAAGAAGGUGGCCAUCUGCAGGCCAGGAAGAGAGUUCCUCACCAGUAAUGGACCAUGUGAGCACCUGAUCUUGGGCUUCCAGCCUCUAGAACUGUGAGAAAAUAAAUAUUUGUUGUUUAAGCCA